ACUAGGUGAGUAACUCUAGCUUGUAAUCCAGGUGGGGGCAUCAAAGUGAUGGAACAUGGCUAUGGUUCAUCUAGGUUGAGUGGUUACUGCACCAUGCUGGCCUGCCCGCUCCAAAUUGAGAUCGAGUCAUGGUGCUUGGGCGAAGGCUCAAGUGUCGUCUCUCCUAGACAAAGAGAGCAAAGCAUGAGGCUGGUUUCAUAGAGCACCAAACACCUCUGUCUUGACAUUGGAGGGAUCACAGGCUGCUGCAGUGCUCACCCCACAAUGCAUCAUUAUCAUGGUAUCCUACUAUAAC
rfam:Lupinus angustifolius cultivar Tanjil contig_17015, whole genome shotgun sequence.